rnacentral:rRNA from 1 species
UACGGGGGGGGCAAGCGUUGUUCGGAAUUACUGGGCGUAAAGGGCUCGUAGGCGGCCAACUAAGUCCGACGUGAAAUCCCCAGGCUUAACCUGGGAACUGCGUCGGAUACUGGAUGGCUUGAAUUCGGGAGAGGGAUGCAGAAUUCCAGGUGUAGCGGUGAAAUGCGUAGAUAUCUGGAGGAAUACCGGUGGCGAAGGCGGGUCUCUGGGCCGAUACUGACGCUGAGGAGCGAAAGCGUGGGGAGCGAACAGG